UGUGCUUCCUAGCUGCAAAGGCAACUAGCACU
rnacentral:piRNA from 1 species